CGGCUGCUGCACGACCCGUCAGGUUGGAACGUCCCUGCGGCCAAUACAAAUCCUCUUGGGAGCUGUCUCUACCGGAGCCUUGGUUCCGGCAUAUGGUGCCCACCUGCACUUGCAGGCCACAGAGGAGACGCUGAACCAACGAUCGCGGCGGCACCGU
rnacentral:other from 1 species